rnacentral:rRNA from 1 species
UACGGGGGGAGCAAGCGUUGUUCGGAUUUACUGGGCGUAAAGGGCGCGUAGGCGGUCGUGACAAGUCACUUGUGAAAUCUCCGGGCUUAACUCGGAACGGUCAAGUGAUACUGUCGGGCUAGAGUCCGGAAGAGGCGAGUGGAAUUCCUGGUGUAGCGGUGGAAUGCGCAGAUAUCAGGAGGAACACCGAUGGCGAAGGCAGCUCGCUGGGACGGUACUGACGCUGAGGCGCGAAAGCGUGGGGAGCGAACAGG